rnacentral:lncRNA from 1 species
CUUUUUUUUUUUUUUUGCUUUUUAGGGCCACACCCACGGCAUAUGGAGGUUCACAGGUGAGGGGUCAAAUCCAAGCUACAGCUCCAAGCCUAUGCCAUGCCAGAUCCAAGCCAUGUCUGCGACCUCAUGGCAAUGCUGGAUCCUUACCCUACUGAGGGAGGCCAGGGAUGGAACCUUAAACCUCAUGGUUUCUGGUCAGAUUCGUUUCUGCUGCACCAUGAUGGGAACUCCUCUGUUUUUGUUUUGACCUUGAUAUAAAAGGUCUGGGCACUUUAAAUGCUAUUGGCAUCUGCUAUAUUGUGCCUUGAACUAGAGUUGAGUAGUGUUCUUGUAUGAUUCCCCCACUAGGGUACAGAGGGCAAUGCCUAUGUCUCAGCCUCUCGAGUAUAUAGUUGGUAAUGUAUAUAUACACCUGCUUACAAUGUGUUGUAAGUAUUCAAAGGAGAGGGGCCAUCCUGAGUUUUUGAAUAGAAUGUAUGAUGCUGCUUAAGGUCAGCCCUGCUCCACAGGAGGCCUGGUUAUAACACCCUAAUGAGCACUUGCACCUUAGAAGAGGGGUCAAGUGUCCUGAAUGAGCUGCUUGGACCAUGGAGAAGGGCUGGAUGAUAGAAAUGACUUUUUUUUCUAUUUAUUUAUUUAAAGAUUUUUAUAUUUUUCUAUUCUAGCUGGUUUACAGUGUUUUAUCAAUUUUCUACUAUACAGCAAGGUGACCCAGUCACACAUACAUGUAUACAUUCUUUUUUAUCACAUUAUCAUGCUCCAUCAUAAGUGACUAGAUACAGUUCCAGUGCUGUACAGCAGGAUCUCAUUGCUUAUCCAUUCCAAAGGCAAUAGUUUGCAUCUCUUAACCCCAAAUUCCCAGUCCAUCACACUCCCUCCCCUUCCCCCUUGGCAACCACAAGUCUGUUCUCCAUGUCCAUGAUUUUCUCUUCUGUGGUAAGGUUCAUUUGUGCCAUUAUGUUAGAUUCCAGAUAUAAGUGACUCUGACUUGCUUCACUUAAUAUGAGAGUCUCUAGUUCCAUGUUGCUUCAAAUGGCAUUAUUUUGUUCUUUUUUAUGGAUGAGUAAUAGUCCAUUGUGUAUCUAUACCACAUCUUAAUCCAAUCAUCUGUUCAUGGACAUUAGGUUGUUUCUAUGUCUUGGCUAUCGUGAAUGGUGCUGCAAUGAACACACAGGUGCAUGUGUCUUUUUCAAGGGAAGUUUUGUCUGGAUAUAUGCCCAAGAGUGGGACUUCUGGGUCAUAUGAUAGUUCUAUAUUUAGUUUCUGAGGUUCCUCUAUACUGUUUUCUAUAUGGUUAUAUCAAUUUACAUUCCCACUAACAGUGCAGGAGGGUUCCUUUUUCUCCACACCCUCUCCAGCAUUUGUUAUUUGUUAACUUGUUAAUGAUGGCCACUCUGAAGGGUGUGAGGUGGUACCUCAUAGUAGUUUUGAUCUGCAUUUCUCUAAUAAUCAGUGAUGUUGAGCAUUUUUUCAUGUGCCUGUUGGCCAUCUGUAUAUCUUUUUUUUGAAAAAAUGUCAGUUUGGGUCCAGAAAAGACUUCUUGAAAGGUAGUGCCUAGGUUCAGGUAGUUGGCCAUCUUUAACCUCUUCUCCAAGUCUGUAACUUACUCUGUUGUAGACAGGUUUCUAUUCAACUAAUUUGCUCUAGUGACCUGUCCUUGGUGAUAUAGUCAAGGGAAGAGAGAUACCAUCGUGUCCUUAAUUUCUGACUCUAGAGAGCAGCUGCUCAAAUGCUUUUCACUUGUGUGUAUACAUUGACUUCUUUCUAGCCAAUGUUUGGAAGUCUCUGAUUUAUGAACUUUGCUUUUCAAAAUGACCUCAGUGUGGUGGAUGAGAAAAGGACACUCAUGGUGUCUGUGUUUUUGAGUGCAAACAAGGAUCUUAGGAAGUCUCAACAGCUCGCUGAAUAUGCAUAGUGCUUAACAGCUUACAAAACAGUUUCACACAUCUGACCUCUUUUGGCCUCUACAGUUACUUCCAGAAAUAUGUAGGGCAGGGGUUAUUACCUCUUCUUUACAGAUGAGACUCAGAGCACAAGAGCCAUGUCUGUGAUCACAUGGCUAAUGAGAGGCAGGGUAGAUUCUUGAACCCAAGAAUUUUGUCAAGUCUGGGUUUAUUCUGCUAUCCUCCAAGCAUCCCAGAUAAAACCUACAACUGAAAUGAAGAGGACAGGGUGAGCAGAAGGUGAAAUAAAUAAGAAAGGAAAGAUGAGAGCAAAGAGUGAAACCGUCUGAGAAUAUGCAAACUAGAAAUAGGCCAGGGGAGGAACGUAUUAACUUCAUUUGGCAGGUGAUUAUAUUUUAUAUUUUUUUAUUUAUUUACUUAUUUACUUCUAAAGAUAAUGAGAAAUGUGCAGAAAGAGGGAUAUAGUUGCCUGCCCCAUACUUCUUCCUUGACAUUAGCCUUCAUUGCCCAGUAAAGGAGUUAGAAAUGGCUGAUACUGCUUUCCCAGCCCCCUGUGCAGAAAGGGCAUGUUCAUGUGACUUAAACCUAGUUAAUGUGACUAGAAGGUGAGUCUGCUGAGAGGCUUCUGGGAAAGAUAUUCCUUCAGGAUAAAAAAAAAAAAACUAUUGCAUUUGGAGGGGAUAAGCUAUGAGGUCCUGCUGUAGUGCACAGGGAACUAUUUCCAAUCACUUGUGAUGGAACAUGAUGGAAGAUAGUCUGAGAAAAACAAUGGAUAUAUAUAUCACUUUGCUGUACAGCAGAAAUUGACAUAACAUUGCAAAUCAAUUAUAAUAAAAAAUUAUAAAAGGAAAACCUUCCCUUCUUGCUUUUGGGUAGGGUUGUGUGAGGAUAGGAUGUCUGGAACUGUAGCAGCUACCUUGAGAUCAAGAAGGGAGAUGUCUAAGGACAAAAAAAGGGUAUGCUGAGCAGGGAAAUGGAAAAAAUGUGACUUUUAUCUUAUUUUUAACAGUUCACUUACCAGUUCUUCAAUCUCUCUACCUCUAGAUAUUGCCAUGUAAGCUAAUAAAUGUGCUUAUCAUUAAAGCCACUUUUAAGUGUAUAUUCUCUUAUUUGAGGCUGAAAAUGUUGUAACAGAUUCAUGGAGAACAUGCCUGUUAUGAACAGAAUCUCUGUCCAGGAACCUGGCGCUGUAGGACUCUGCUAGUUUAUACUGAGAAGUUUAUUUAAUGCUCAUCCUACACAUUAAACAAGACCCUCAUGUAAGAGCUAUGAAAGGAAACUUGGGAUUAAAAUAUGACAAAGGUUAUCAAUAACUUUAAUAAGUUAUUAAUGUAUCAAUAAUCUAUCUCUUCUUAAUUGCUGCUUGAUAAUAACAAAAAUGUCAUGUCAGUAAUUACAUUUAAAAAAAUAAGGUAAUCUCGGAGUUCCCGUUGUGGUGCAGUGGUUAACAAAUCUGACUAGGAACCAUGAGGUUGUGGGUUCGAUCCCUGGCCUUGCUCAGUGGGUUAAGGAUCCGGCAUUGCCAUGAGCUGUGGUAUAGGUCAUAGAUGUGGCUCAGAUCAUGCGUUGCUGUGGCUCUGGCAUAGGCUGGUGGCUGUGGCUCCAAUUAGACCCCUAGCCUGGGAACCUCCUAGAAAAGGCAAAAAGAAAAAAAUAAAGAAAUAAAAAUAAAAAAAUAAUAAGGUAAUCUCUUAAUUUUGUUUAUUAAAAUGCUACCAGGUAAAUGGCUUUGAUUUCACAUUGAUGUUAUAUCAUUCAUUACUAGCUCCUUGCUGAUGCAAACUGUCAAAUCUGUAUCCUUUUGUCUAUGUCUUCUGGUAGCAUUUCUUUUUUUCUUACCUGGUUUAUUUAUAUAAUCAUUACUCUCAGGAUUUUGUCCACCCUCAGGUGACUUUAUACAUAUUUUAAAUUUCUAUAACACACUAAUCCAAGAAUUUGAACUUCCUUGCAACAGUCAUGUUAUGUGUCUUUCCCGUAUUUCCAAGCAAAGAAGUAAAAGAUGUUCUCAUUUUCUCCAUAGUAGUCUAAGGAGUUGAAUGAAGAAAUGAAGCCCAAAAAGAGAAAAGAGAAAGCACACACACACAAAAAGCUCAGAUUUCUUAGUCUCAUGACUGAAUGUCCUACCACUUAAUCAAUAGCACGUACCACAUUCAGGAGAUAAAAGAAAGCAAAGAAAACGUGAUUUGUGGAAACACUGAAAAUUGAACCUGAUGUGAUAAACCACAGCCGUCGUGUGUUAGCGUGGAAGGCUUGUCAUGAAAAAACUCAUUGCCCCGGUGUUGGGUUUGCGCCUGGAUCAGAUCACUGCUUGUGGGAUUCCUUGGUCAUGUGAAAUACACUUGAUAUGAAGCUUGUCUGAGAUACAUAAGUGUGCUGUGUGGUCCAGAAGUGCUUUACACCUGAUGUUGGCUUUUCACAGUCUUUUUGUCUGAUAGAAGAGCUUUGGGGGCACAUUUAAGCCUCUCCCCAGGUGUGGGUAUGUGGGAUGUUCAAGCCUGUAAAUAUGUGUGAAAGGGGUGCUGUAGCUUGGAGCCAACUAAAGAGACAUGGGCUUUAGAGUAAUAAAGAUGGGCAGUGGGUGAGCAGGCCUCACAGUAAAUGAUUCACCUUUUCCUAUUCCCAGCCAGUAAAUGUGAGUUUCCCGAAAUUUUGUGGCCCUGCUCCUUGUCUUAUCUUCAGCAGCUAAUGAUAUUGUUGCAAAUGUCAGGGCUGCAACAAGUUCAGUUUUGUUGUAGCAAGUGGAAGACUGAUAAGAAACAGUGAAGAGUCACUAAUAGCUUUGGCAACAAAACAUGACAAGGCGCAUAUUACUGGAGGCAAUUACACGCAUCCCAGGGGCAUUCAAUAGACUCCAGCACUGACUUUAAUGACCUAAGAAUCCACUUGCCCUUUUCGUUUUCUCUGUUAUCUCCAAGUAAUGAAAAUAUUGAGAAAGUUAUUGUAACUGUAAAAUUGCAGCAGAGUUCUCUUUUAAAAAAAUAAAGUUUGAUUUAUCCUAUGACUUGGAAAAUGGUUCAUUAUGCUUCAGUUCAAAGGGAGAACAGAACUGAGAUAGCGGGACUGGCUCAUUUUGUCUGGUUUACUUGGUGCCAAACCAUCCGGGCAGCAGCUCAGGAGGGGUGGGGUUUAAUGUCACUGCUUUGGAGGAGGAAGCCAGUUUCACACUCAAUUUUCAGAAAGUCUCUAAAGACAAAUGACCAGCUAUAAUCUUAUUAAUGGAACUUAUGAAGACUUUGGAAAGGCUUUUCUAAAUUAGAUGAGAAAAUAUUCAUAAAAUAUCAAGUGUAGUCGCCAUUUACCCAUAAAAGGAGGUCCCUUGCUUUGUCAAGCAACUGCUGUUGCCUGUGGUCUCUUUUGCGCUGCUGCUAAGCUGUAUCUCUGCCAGUGAUGCUGCCCCUCAGGGUCCUCUGUCACUAACUCUCUGGGAAAGGGUCUGCAUUGUCUUAUAAGGCAAACUUGAGCUCUCCUUCCUCUAUGAUUCUGUAGCACCUUUUAAAUACAUGCCUAUUAGAAAACUUGUGACAUUUGUCCAGAGAUGGCAGCAUGGAUAUGGAUUUAUUCUCUUACAUGGAGAGAGUGGAGGCAGAGAGUGCCAAAGGUAAGGAAGUAUUUAGGUGGUGAGGAAAGAAGCAACCCCAAUUAAGAAGAGCAAGAAGGGAUAUUCUGAGGGCAGGAAUGUAGUGAGAGAGGGGUCUGUUUCAUCACAGACACUGCCUGGGAAAAGAUUUCAAGAUGUUUCUAGACUAUCAAACAGCCCAGUCCUGACAGGAUAGGGUGCUAGCAGGAUGGUCAUUUGUUCCUUUCAGUCCUCUCCAUAUCCUAGCUUUAGUCUUUCUCUGGAACCUCUUGAGUUUCCCUAGAAGGAAAAGGUGUUUACAUAGGGUUGUUGAAUUUUUAAUAAGCUAUACUUGGGGUAGAAAAAGGUGUCUUUGCUGCUGAAUGAUUCUAAGUAAGGUGAGGACUGUCCAUGAUAGAAAUUUCUCACUAAACACCAGGAAGACAGGUAGCGACGUGUUGUUUGACACCAAAAACCAGACAAGAAAAGCCAGUCCUACUAUCUCAGUUCUGUUCUCCCUUUGAAUUGAAGAGGAAUGAAUGAUUUUCCAAGUCACAGGGUAAAUUGUACUUUAUUUUUUUUAAAAGGGGGAACUGUUGUAAUUUUAUGAUUAUUACAUCUUUCUCAAUAUUUUCAUUACUUGGAGAAAAUGAAAAGGGCAAGUGAUUCUUGGGUCUCCUAGAAGGGAAACUGGAUGGUCUGGGGCAUAGGCAGGGCUUACCCAUAUUCUCUGGUGCUGACAGGGAGAUUAUGGUUCUGUAAAACAGUUCCUGAGUCCUCUGAUAGUGACUCUCCUCAUCUCUGCUGACUCUUUCUGGACUAGGCCCUACCUGGUCCCCUAUUACAGGUUCUACCUACCUUUCUUCAUUGUAUUUUCUUUCUCCACCUUCCAUAGCUCAGAAGCUUUAUUAAAAGAUGAGAAAAAAUAAUGACUUUCCUGUCACUUAGUCUUCUAAAUAUCUUUGUAUUACACCUGAAACUUUGUUUAGAAACUCUAAAACAAGAAUAUAAUUAUUUGGUCUCUGGUGUUGCCAUGAUAAGGGAUGAGAUAUCUUAUGUCUAGAAAGUGGGAACACCAGAGGGAUAAGUUGAUCAAUCAGUACAUUAAAAUGUUAUUUACUGAUUAGUAAAUAUCCUGAUUAGGAUAACAUAGAGUCAUAGGAUGCUAAGGAAGAGGAGAGUUUCAAGAAGGAAAGUGUAAUAAAUACAACAAAUUUAUGCAGAGAGUUAAGGAAAAAUGAAGAGAAAUAUUAGGUUUUGCAAACUAGUGAUGAUUGUAAUUUCAAUGUUGUUAGACCAAAGGGUAUUAAAGCCAGAUUGCAGAGAGCUGAAAAGAAAAAGGGAUGAAGAGACAAAGAUAGGCUCUUGGCAAUUCAGAGGAAUAGAUAUUCUGGUGGACCUUCUCAUUAAAUACAACUGUGUCCUGGAAAAAUUACAAUGAACACUUUUCAAUGCAUUACUGCAUUUAUUACAGAUCUCAGAAGUCUCCAAGAGGGGUGGUAAAUUAGAACAAUGAGCAAGACCUCCAUGUGUGGUUGUGCAUACUGUAUAUGCCACAGAUCUAGAGGGUGACAUUCAUAUCAUAGCUAUAGGAGUACCAUAUUCUGCAAUUUUCAGGGGCUGUGGCACUGAGAGUUGUGAAAGAAUAGUGAGAUGAACACUAAAUAAGCAUAAAAGAGGUGGCUUCCUGAGAGCAAUUCCAUACUGUGACAGGAAGAUCAAGUCAGGACAAGAAAAGAGACCUAAGUUUAAGCUCUGCAUUAAGCCAAGACCUUCAGAAUGGGUCAGAGGAGUAUCAGAUGAAUAGUCCCCACUGCCUCUCAGCAGAGCAAAUGCAUAUCUUCCCUAGAGAAAACCAUCUUUUCUUUAGCCCUUAGGAAUCCCACAGUGUAAGUUCUAUAAAAUAUGACCUCUCAUAAAAAAACUCAACAAAAUACAGAAAGGUAAGGUAAUACAUGAUUGAAAAUCAAGAGAACCAACAGAGUUAGAUCUUCCUACACACUUAAGACACCAGGAUUAUCAGAUACUGAAUAUGAAGUAACUGCACUUGAAUUAUUUAAAGAAAUUCAAGAGGGAAAUAGACAAGCAUACAAACAACAAACCUGAAGAAGAAACAACAACAAUUUCCAGGCUUAUUUGAAAAACAACCAAAUAGAACUUUACAUACAAAAAUGUAAUUAGCAAAAUUAAAAUAUUAAUAAAUGUGUUAAUUGACAAAAUUAGAAAAAGCUAAAGAGAGAAUUAGUGAACUGGAAGAUAGAGUCAAAGAAAUUAUGCAGAAUGUAGCACAGAGAUAAAAGAAGAUGAAAAAUAUGCAAGAGAAACUGAGACAUGAAAAUGGAAUGAGAAUACUUAACAUACAUUAAACAAAGAUUAUAUAAAUCCAAUUAUAAUGGUCAAAAGAAAUCAAGAAAAAGCAAAAAAAAGAAAAAAGGAAAGAAAGCAUGUGUUAUUGUGUCUAGUUGUUUGGUUAAACACCAAUCUAGAUGUUACUGUGAAAGCAUUUUUUUGGAUGUGAUUAACAUUUACAGUAGAUUUUAAGUAUAA